UUGUAGAUGAUGGAUGAACUGUUUCAACCUUGUCGAAUUAUUACACUACUCCUGCUGAGAUACUCGUCUCCCUUCAGCUCCCACAGCUGUUUAAGACGUUCUCUCACGGUGAUCAUCUUUGAAGCUUCUCCACCUUGAGCUAAGAACCCUUAUCCCUCGCCUCUCCUUCCCCACAGGUAACGUUUCCUUGGAACUCUAAAGUCCCUUUAUUGUUGUUUAAGAAAUAACCGGAGUGCUCAACUCAUUAUUUCUUCUGUGGCGAGGUUACAACAAUGACGUUACCUGUGGCGCCUAGCCCUUCUAGGCGAUGUUUAAGAGAUCACAACAGAGAUCAAACUUAGGCCCAGGUCUUCAAACGUUGCUGGACUUGUGUGGGCCAGAAUUGGGCCUUUACUUCACAACUUGAAUAGCAAAACAGUUUUUUUUUUUUUUUCAAUAAGUUAAGCAGGUGAAGAGACAAUUGCAAAACGCAUGCUAAAAGUAAAAAUAAAUACAAUGCAUAUCAAAAAAAUACGAGCAACAACAAGUACAUUAAUAUCACAUUACAUAAACAAAAGAAGUCUAACAACUUAGUAAACAGAGGUCAAAGCUUAAGCAAAAAAAAAAAAAACUUAGUAAA